rnacentral:rRNA from 1 species
UUCUUUAUCACCGAGUGCUUGCACUCACCGAUAAAGAGUUGAGUGGCGAACGGGUGAGUAACACGUGGGCAACCUGCCCAAAAGAGGGGGAUAACACUUGGAAACAGGUGCUAAUACCGCAUAACCAUAGUUACCGCAUGGUAACUAUGUAAAAGGUGGCUAUGCUACCGCUUUUGGAUGGGCCCGCGGCGCAUUAGCUAGUUGGUGGGGUAAAGGCUUACCAAGGCAAUGAUGCGUAGCCGAACUGAGAGGUUGAUCGGCCACAUUGGGACUGAGACACGGCCCAAACUCCUACGGGAGGCAGCAGUAGGGAAUCUUCCACAAUGGGCGAAAGCCUGAUGGAGCAACGCCGCGUGGGUGAAGAAGGUCUUCGGAUCGUAAAACCCUGUUGUUAGAGAAGAAAGUGCGUGAGAGUAACUGUUCACGUUUCGACGGUAUCUAACCAGAAAGCCACGGCUAACUACGUGCCAGCAGCCGCGGUAAUACGUAGGUGGCAAGCGUUAUCCGGAUUUAUUGGGCGUAUAGGGAACGCAGGCGGUCUUUUAAGUCUGAUGUGAAAGCCUUCGGCUUAACCGGAGUAGUGCAUUGGAAACUGGGAGACUUGAGUGCAGAAGAGGAGAGUGGAACUCCAUGUGUAGCGGUGAAAUGCGUAGAUAUAUGGAAGAACACCAGUGGCGAAAGCGGCUCUCUGGUCUGUAACUGACGCUGAGGUUCGAAAGCGUGGGUAGCAAACAGGAUUAGAUACCCUGGUAGUCCACGCCGUAAA